CAUUGGUCAACUAUAGUCCUUGCGCGAACUUGGCCUAGAAUUGUAUUUGUGGACAAACACAUAGCUGUUUCGACAGUUGUUUAGUGACAUCUGUCAUGUAGGAGUUUCAACCAAGUGGGGUGUACAUUCACGUAUGGUUCCGAAAUUAUUGGGCUUUGUAGAAGUGAAAUUGGUGUAAAUUAACAAAUUUUAGAAAUCAAUACAAAUUCACAUGAUUGCGUCAUAUUGACGUCGGUUUAUUUCCCAUGUAUAUCCCAUACGUGACUAUAUACUUACCAUACCGGAAGCGUGUUGGGGCUGGUAUCCUGGGAUGUGGUGCCCUGUUUAAACUAACCAAGAAGAUAUCCCCAUAAAAAAGCAAGGUGCAAGCUACCACAGAUGAGAAGGUUACUGGAGAGAAGAGGGAAAGUAGUGAUGAACCAACAAAUUCAGGGGAAUCCGAUCGUCAAAUCCCAGGUGACGACAUGACCAUCGGUUUGGGUUUGCAUCCGUGCUGCAGACGUCAGUUUGUCCUGAAAGGCAGUGGGUUCUGGAUCGACAACUCACUUCUCCUUCGUGA